rnacentral:lncRNA from 1 species
GAAAACAAAGGUAAAAUGAAAUUUUGGGACUGGUCAACAAAUGACCUAAUGGUCAAAUUGUUGCAAUUGGCAUAGCAAGGUUAACAUUAAAAUAAAAGCUAGUAAAUUUUGAAUCAUUAACAAAAUAGGACUUCUGAUCUUAAUUUAUCAUGUCAGAAAAAAGAAAUCAAAAUUCAAAACUACAUGGAUUUAAUAAACUUCAGUCAAUCCCACGUUGACUAUUUAGACAUGCCCACAUUUUAAAAAAAUAAAAUAUGGAAACUACCAAAUGGAAGGAGUUGUUGCUCAUUUACAGUAACUUCCAAUUUAGUGACAUCCAGAACAUUAAAAAAAAAAAAAAUUUGGAUCCCUCUGCUUCUGUUCAAAAUUCUGUCUUGAAGAAAAAAACAUGAUGAACUGCCCUUGAGUUGCUAUGAAAGGGAAAUAAAACUUUUUUAUCUCUCUCUAAAGUUGGUUAGGGAAGGUUCUUCAGCCUGUCAUAGGAAACUGGGAGGAAGGCUGAAGUUAAUGAGCUGCUUGCAUUGCGAUGGCUUAUUUG